rnacentral:rRNA from 1 species
UACGGAGGGUGCAAGCGUUAAUCGGAAUUACUGGGCGUAAAGCGCACGUAGGUGGUUUACUAAGCCAGCUGUGAAAUCCCCGGGCUCAACCUGGGCACUGCAGUUGGAACUGGUAAGCUAGAGUAGGGUAGAGGGGUGUGGAAUUCCAGGUGUAGCGGUGAAAUGCGUAGAUAUCUGGAGGAACAUCAGUGGCGAAGGCGACACCCUGGAUUCAUACUGACACUGAGGUGCGAAAGCGUGGGGAGCAAACAGG